AGACCCACCCUUCCAUUGUGAUGCAAUUUCCCUUCCAGCUGCCUCUGCAGUCCUCUGACCCCUUGGGAAAGCAGAUAAACACCUUCCUGGCUCUUCACCAACAUCCUAGAGGAUCUGCUCCAGCUGAUCCUGCUCCACAGAGAGACUGUCUGCAUCUGCCUCUGUCCUCUGAGUACCUGCCACUGCCCCAAGGAAUGGAGAGUGGGGUUGCAGAGCACCAGCCAAUCACAGCCAGGAGGGAACGUGUCACCCUCACAGUCUCUAGCACCAUUAUUGUACCAGCAGCAUAAUGUGAGGCUGCAUCAGGACACACCCAUGCCUCUAGAAAGACUUCACAGAAUGAACCUACUUCUUUCUUCUGGGAGCCUCAUCCUGAUUCCAAGUCCCCUGGGAACAGACCACCCUUCCAUCCCAGACACACCUUCCUUUGUUCAACGCUCCUGUUAAUUUCAUCCAGCUGCAUUUCAUUUCAUUCAAUCGGACAUCUCUACUCGGAGCAUAAAACUCACUCUUCCCCAUUAUAAGUGUGGUUGGGAUGGACAUGGGUCACAGAUGGGAAACUACAUGGAGGCACGGGAGAAUACAAAAGAUGUUCCCAAAUAAGUCACACUCACAUCUCUC
rnacentral:lncRNA from 1 species